rnacentral:rRNA from 1 species
UACGUAGGGUGCAAGCGUUAUCCGGAAUUAUUGGGCGUAAAGAGCUCGUAGGCGGUUUGUCGCGUCUGCUGUGAAAACCCGAGGCUCAACCUCGGGCCUGCAGUGGGUACGGGCAGACUAGAGUGCGGUAGGGGAGAACGGAAUUCCCGGUGUAGCGGUGAAAUGCGCAGAUAUCGGGAGGAACAUCAGUGGCGAAGGCGGUCUGCUGGGCCGUUGCUGACGCUGAGGCGCGACAGCGUGGGGAGCAAACAGG